GAAACGUCAGGAAGACUAUCCAUCUUUCAAAUCUGUUUUGAUACGUUUUCACUUCAUGAUGCAGAGUACGGUCGCUCUCAGGAGGUUGCAGAAAAAGGACAUAAAACCAUAAUAAGUUUUCAGAGAGAUUACAAAGACUGUGAACCUUAAUCUCAUGUAUGUUUGCAAAUCAUCACCAUGGUGCUGGAAUAACAUGUGCAGGAGUAGAAACUGAUUCACCAGGCAUGGAAUGUCACAGUGCUCAAGCCAUUGGAUGCUGCAGCUCCCUCCACCAGGCUGGGUCUUGAGCAGUGUGCUGGGAUCCAGAACUGGGUUACAAGCUGGAUGGAAACUCAAUUGCAGAAAAAGAGCCACAGGUGUGAGAGCAAGAAAAGUCUUCAGGAGAGGAAAUGGAAAAUUCUGCUCCCCAGGACACAACAAUAGCCACUCAACUCUACUUUGUGGGCCUUGUGUUGCCAACAGGAGGUUUUCUGCCAGGCUGCAAAGAUUCAAGAUCUGUGCUGCUCUCCCUGUGACAUCCCUGUUAUUACUGUCACAUGCAGACGACUGACACCCACUGUGUCAAAGACAGCCAAGGGUUUGGUGUUGUACUGCACCAGACAGCGUGUUGGGUGUGUGAUAGUCAGACUGCCCUUCCUGUGGGAGGAGAUUUAGAGGGAGAUGUUGCUUUUUGGUGUGCAAAAAUAGCUAUCUGUGGAAGCUGGAGGAUUUCAGAGAGGGAGGAGGCUUGUUAGGGAAAGGAUUAACAGCGAGUACAUGGAUGGUCAUAUUUCAGUACAAACACCUGUAAAUCAGCCUAAGCCUGUAAGUAGCAACCUAUUAAACUGAGUUCACCUCUGCAGCACUCACCCUGCGCCUGGUCAGCAAGGCUGGAGCCAGCUACCAGCCCUGAGUGGUGCUACGGGCUCAGCCUUUUCCCAUCUUGUGUAGCAGUGGAAAUGGAGAAGCUGCAGACAUUUACAGCUUGCAAGUCGAAACACUUAGUGAUGUAUUAAGGAGGUGAUGCCAUCUUUUUAAUACAUCUUUCUUCGUUCCUGCUUCUUUUCUCAUUUCUAACCCUUCUUAGAGUUCUGAGGUGAUUUUCCUCCUUGUUUGCUUUUGAGAGGCUUGUUUUCUCUCAAGAAUUUGUUUUUGACACAGAUCAUAGGUCAGGUCUCCCUGUCCUGCCCCCUCUGUUCAGCAGAAGAGCUGUUAACAGGGGUGUGUUGCCUGUUUUCCUGAAGGUGAUGCAUACUGUCCUUCUAGCAUCUCAUGCCUCUUUUCUCCAAUUGUAGGAUGAGAAAUCAGGAUAUUAACUUGACUUCUCUAUUAUCGCCAC
rnacentral:lncRNA from 7 species